GGGACUAUAGUUAAUAAUAACAUUUGAGUUGCAUUCAAAAAGUACUACCAAGUAGUUAGCCUCA
rnacentral:tRNA from 2 species